CUUGAAUGUUCAGAUGACCUCUGCUUGUCUGAAUAUUUCAGAUUGUUUCUUUUUUCCUUUUAAUGUGGUAAAAUACACAUCACAUUUACAGUUGCAGCCUUUUUGAGUGGACAGUUCAGCUGCAUUCAGUGCAUUCACAUUGUUUUGCAAUUCUUUCCACCAUUCAUCUUCUCCAUCUUAAAUUCUGUAGCCAUUUAAACACUAACCCCACAUGCUGCCCUCCUCUACGCCACCUUUCAACUCUCCUUCUCUGAAUCUGCCCACCCUAGGAACCUCAUAGAAGUGGACUCCUGCGGUAGCUGUCCUUUGUGUCUGGCUGGUUUCACUUAGCAUGGUGCCUUCAGGGUUCAUUCCUCAUGGUGACUGCCAGGCUCACCUCUCUUUUAGGACUGGAUUGUGUUUCGUGGAUGCACAGAUGAUCCCCAGCUUAUGCUGGUUUCACUUAUAGUUUUUCAGCUUUAAGGUGGUGUGAAAGCAACACAUGUGCAGUAGAAACUGCAGUCUUCUCGGUGUUAUUUCCUUAGUGUUCUACCUUCUUAGCCUAUGGAGCUUGGACUUUGUAGAAUUUAUUUUCUGAGACUUUGAUUUUUACUAAAUCCUUUACAUGUUAAAAGUUGAUUUUCAGUUCUUAGCUAAUUUUUUUCUAAGGAGACUCAUGUAUUAGAACAUUUGUGGAGAGACAGCUAUUUAUUUAACAAUUUAUAAUCUGUCUACUUUGAGAAAAAAAUUUAAUAUGUUUUUACAAUAAUAGCUGUUGUAGAGAGUUAUGAAAAUAUUGGUAAAGAGUCAUGGGGAUUAGUGUGGAGGGAGAGAAUUAGGUGAAAGAUAACUAAAGUUGUCUUUUUAAUUUUAAUUUGCCAAAGUGAAAGAGGAAAUAG
rnacentral:lncRNA from 1 species